CUGGCUGGACUGACCCCCGAGAGGCUCCACUGGUCAGCUAGCAUGGGGGGCCGCCCCUGUUGCGUAGCCAGUUUCUCCUCACCUUCUGUUCCCCUGGGCUUCCUGGGGUUUGUGUGUCUGGCACUGAUGCUGGACUCCCUGUGCUGGCCACCCGCCUGGUAGGCAGCAGCCAAAUCCCUGAAGGUGAGUGCUGGUGCCUCAGUCGCUCACUCCACUGCAGCUGCAGGACCCAGCCCUUCCAUUCACAGUGCUGGCCUGGGGAAGUGGAGAUGCCACUGUGUGGUGGCAGAAUGGUGUGUGAGUUGUCCUGCACAUGUUAAGGCUCCUCACCUUGUGCUCCCCCAGCCAGAGCUGUUUGCUGGUCAGCCCCAACAACCACCCGGGCCUGUCAAGUUUGUUUCUUCUUUCUGCAGGUGCCAGGUCAUUGAGCUUUGACCAUUUGGGACACUCCUGAACCCAAGGAACUAUGACCUCAGAGCAGCACACACACUUGCCCCAUGCACGCAAAAUUUGCCAUGCUUCCCCAGCUGCAGAACACGAUUCAUCAGGUGGCACCGCCACUGCAUGACUGAGAGUCAGUCUAUUGCUCCACGCGGCCCAGUACAGGACUGGGGUCAGGCCCCAGAGAGCUGGCCAGCAGGGAUGGCUGAGAAGUCUCUCAGGAGCACAGAUUGCUUUUUACUCCUGGAUGAAGUGUUUUGAAGGCAGGAAAGUCAGCCCCUGCAUUUCUUCUUUCAAUGAUUACUCCUGGCUCUCCACUGAGGAAUUACUCCUGGCGGGGCUCAGGGGACCAAUAGGGAUGCUGAGAACCGAACCCGGUUGGCCACGUGCAAGACAAACGCCCUACAGCUGUGCUAUCACUCCAGCAGCAACACCUUUUGCUGUAUGCAUCCUUUUGUUCUCUUGGCCUGCCAAGUUUCUCUACAGAGUCCAGUGCAAUAUUAUUUUCAUUUCAUAUUCUUUAAGUGUGCUUCAAUCGGGGCCUGAAGCAAGGUUAUAGCAGCUAAGACACUUUGCUUUCACAAGCCCAUAAUAAGUUUGAUCCCUGGCUCUCCAUAUGCAAUGUGGUUCCUGAGCCCUGAGCCAGGAGUAAUCCCCCAGUGCUGCCUGGUGUGUCACAAAGAAAUGACACAAAACAGUCACCGUUACCAAUAUUUGUCAUUCAUUGACUUACUUUGAAGUUGCAUGACGGUCAAGUUGCUCUUCUGAGACUAUGGUUGAUACUUGCAAUCCUUUCGUAGUAUUCAUUGGCUCUCUGAAUUCUAUAUUUACUUAGAAAACCAUCUAUCUAAAUGGGCAGUCUGCUGUUACAUACUAGUCCUAUAAUUUUCUAACUACUGCAGAUACUAGAGACACUCAAACGAAUCUCACAACUGAGCAGCUAGCUGCAGAGAUGCUUCCAGAUUUUGUAAUAGGCCACUUUCACUGGGUUACUCCAGAUGGGAGCAAGUGCUGUCCCUCCGCCUGCCCCCUAGAAAAUCCAGCAGCCGCCAUCUUCCAGAACUCAACAAAAAACCCAGGUAUGUGAGAGCAGUAGCGGCAAACACCACGCCUCACAGGACAGGGGAGGAGCUGGUCCCUCUCCUUCCCACUGCCCUGAUGGGACUCUGAGAUGACACCCACAAAAUGCCCCCGGCUACUUAUUAAGCACCUAAAUGACCAUGAUCCAGAGACAUACAAAUGAACCCCAGAACUGAGCAGCUCGCUGCAGAGAUCUCUCCAGAACCUACAUAUUAAAAGUUUAGAAUUCCAGGAGAGAAGCUGCUUGAUAUUAUAUUGCUUAUUCAUAAUAAGCAAUAUAAAACAAAUUGUCUAGCAUUGCUUUUUCGGCAGGUUUGAGUGGUGUUGGGAAAAUUCCCAAUAAUAAUGUGGCCGAGAUGUGAUCCCGGGGGCCGCACGCAUGUGCGGCCUCUCCGCAGCUGCACAAGCAUGAAUCCAGACCCAGCAAAACCUUUCGGCGUGGGCAACUCCUCGCAGAAUGUCUCCAGCCUGAGAACUAAGCCUCGGCCCCGUGCCCGCCCAGAUGGGGAAAGAUGGAGGGAAUUCAGAGUCUUGAAACCAGUUAUUCAAGAAGCAUUAGAAGAGCUUCUGUAAAGGACAGGAAAAAUUUCCCUUGUGUUUUGAAACUCUGAGUGUGGCUCUCAUUCAAAAUGCUGAUGGUUGCCCUCUACUAGAUUAAGAAAGGGAUGUCCUGAGACCGGUGUGACAUCCUCAGUCCUGCAAUUAGGGUCCCACGUGUGCCUAAUACUUGACGACAGAUGUGUGAUGAUGAUGCUAUGCUGGGAGCCAUGCAGGAUGCCAAACUGUAGGCCAAGAGGAAGAGGAGGAACAAAGGUGCCUGGUUUAAGGGGAGAACAAGACCACAGACUACUGACAACAUCAUGAUGUUCCCCUCCAGCCACAAGACCUGGCAGUGGAUGGGGAGACAGGGACCCCCGAGACGCUGAGUUCAGCUCGGGACAUCCCGGUGGAGCCCCUGGUGGGAAGCAGCUGUUCUACCUGCCAGGACACGAGCCCGGGACCGCACAGAUGCAGUGACACCCAGUGCCCGGCACAGCAGGAGGAGCCCAUGUGCCCGAGCUCUCUGGAUGAGGCCUGCACGAUGCUGACCCUCGGCGAAAGAACUGUGGAGAUGUUGGUCUCCCUGAUGCAAACCUCCCCUGGGCGGAAGUUCUCCUCUGUUACCACCAUCCUUCCUACCGGCCUGGCCUUCCCCAUUCCCGCGCGGAUCCUGCAGCAGAUGCUGCGCUGGUGAGAGCCGCCCCGCCAGCCGCUGGGCCUUGCCUGCCUCCCCGCCUGGGGUGCUCAGAAGGAGCCAGGGCCUCUCUGAGCUUCUGCUGGUUCUUCUGAACACAGCGUGGAGAGAGUCACGCAAGGUCCUGGAGGAGGACAUGGGAUGGGCCGUGACAGUGCUGGGCUGCUGCCUGGUCUCCUGGCCAUGAGCUUCCUGUUCAUUCUUGUUCCUGCCCAUGGAACAGCAGCCGCAACUCUCAGAGCCUGUGGCUUGGGACUCCCAGAGUACAUGCACAGGAAACCCCCUCUGAACUCCAAAGCAUUUCUGUCCAUCCAUGCCCUGGUCUUCCUCUCGGUGUUGCUGUGGGCGAAUAGACGUCUCUGGGGGCCACACACGUGUCCCAGCACCACGGGACAGGAGAAGGGUUUGGUAGUUUGGUCUUUCCAUACGUCAAAGCAGCACCUGGUCAUACAGCAUUUCUCCACACAUUGUCACGCAAAAACAGAGCUACUCCCUGGGACUGAGUCCUGGUCUGAGCCUCAGGAUCCUGCCGUGUGUCCGGAACACUCCAUGGACACUGUCCUGCUUCCCAUAGGUCUGGAUGCCUCCUCCCGUACUUGGAGCAGGUUCUCAACUGCGAAAAAACACUGAAGCAGUGAGUGGUCCAGGGUCCCCGAUAUCCACAAGGGUCAGCCGGGUCUGUGUUGGGUGCCGUGUGUGGGCAGAAGCCAGAGCUCAGGCAUCAUUUCCCCAACAGG